rnacentral:rRNA from 1 species
GUGACAGCGGAGGGAUCAUUACC